rnacentral:lncRNA from 1 species
UGUGUGCGAGGAAUGGCUCGCAACAUCAGCUCAAAUUUGAGGAAGCACGGUUAUAGCGUCACCCGCUGGCACUUCCCAGACCUCUGCGACGAGGACUUGAACUGGAUGAUCGGCAUCCUGCACCAAUUCAGGGAUUCUCGCCUGAGUCUGGUCUUACCGAGAAAUGGCCUCAGCGCUACGGGCACUCGUCGGCUGUUCGAGGAGCUCCCUCAAAUCCGGGAGGUAUACCACGACCCUGGCGCGGCGCACCUGACGUCAGCUGGCAGUGCACCUGAUCUCACCUUCAUCGAGUUGUCAACGAACAACAUCAUUCAAUGGAUGUAAAAUGCUGCGGCCUGGUAGUAGGUUUUUUGCGCGGUUGGUGGAUCGCUAAUUCCCGGGCAAGAUAAUUGAGACCCGACCUGGUCAUCAAGACAUAUUAUCACUGGCGGUCAUGCGGUGAAAUGUAGAGAAACUGCAAAAUAAAUACUUUUAAAAAUCAUCCAUGGCUUAUGGAUCUUGUUAGGUUUAUUGUGUUUUGUGUCGUUAAUCGUAUAAUAAUAGUACAAUAGUUAUUUACGGACUAGGAUAUGGUUGAUACAAUAUUAUAUUGUCACCGAAAUUGUUAUUGUAACUUGGAAAGAAUUUCAACAGUGAUUACCUUUUAUCCUGUUUAAGUGAUAUGCCAUGGACUCACCUGCCCUUUCCAAUGAGACUUCACGAGUGAUUAAAUUAAAAUAAUGAACGGAGUAAAUAUUCACGG